UGGUGCACAGCUUUUUCUGCAAGGGAGGAUGAGCUAAAUAAGGCUUGACUGUUUUUCCAAGGAAGCUGAGCGAGGGUGGGCAGUACGUGGGCUGGGACCUAGCGUUGCACAAGUGAAGGUCCAGCUGGCCAUGAGGAUGUCUCUGGGAGGCUCCCCGAAACACCACAGUCAUGGAGCGUGGGCGGAUGCGUAGCCAGCGGGCGGCAGACAGACCCCCCCACGCUGGGGCUGCAUGGGAGACAUGGGGCAGGGGCUGCCAGAUGAGGAGUGUGAGACUGGAUUUAUAGUGAAAGGCUUUUCCAGCCUUAUUUUCUGUGUCUCUACUUCUGUACUUGGAGAUGGAUUUCUUUGUCAGCCGUAGAAACAAGAAAGUUUGCAUUAUCGGGAGGUUUUUAUUGCCGGAAAUAUGUAUCAUUUGACCUUUUGCUCUCAGUUGUCCACGCUGUGCAGUGAGCCCAGAGCUCCCUUUUCUCAUCAUCAUAGAAACUGCUGCUGUCAUAGCACGGAAACUUAAUUUUAGCCUCGAUUUCUGAGGAAACGAGAUGCGUAAGCUCACGCUAGCUGUCUGUCCAUCUGUCUCACCAGCCAGGAAACAAGCUGGGUCUGCCUGCUCUCAACAGCUUCUUGAUGCCGUUGAUCAUCUCUAUCUAGAUCUGGCAGGCAGAUGGUGGUCCCAGCGGUGAGAAGACCCUACAGGAGUGACGGCUGGGGUGAAAUGAUCAGGGCUCAAUCCUUUGGCAGAAGACAAUGAUUUGGAAGAAUGAUGUGCAUCACCAGACUUUGCAAGUUGGGAAUGUCUCACCCAUGGGAAUGGAUAUUCUCCACUGGAUGUGGCUAGCCCCUCGCAUUAUACCCAGCUCCAGGUGCUAUGAAGCUUGAAGACACAUUGACCGUGAAAGCCUUCAUCUUGAGAGAUGGGCUUUCUCAGAGGAGAUCAGGGCACAAGCAGGACUAAAAGGCUGGUGGACUGAUGAAGCUUUUAGUGCUAGACAAAUACAUCUAACUUGUAGUGUCUGAUGCUGAUGCUACAUCCACAUUCCUCAUAUGUUUUGCUGCUGUGAUGGGGGUUUAAUGUUUAGAUUAGGUAUUUUCUUUGUAAGAGUAGUUGUUUCAUCUAUUUUUCAUUUCAUGUUUCCAUUUAUAAGGCACACCUAUUGUCAGCACAUGGAAUACUUAAAGUGAGCAAUUAGGAUAAUUAUUUUCUUUAGGAUAACACCAGAAUGCCCUCAGUGAGGGUGAAGACUCUAUGAUUUCAGGUGUUGUUCAAAGAUAGGGCAGACUCUGUUUCUGCUCUACCUUGUAGCAUGUCUCUUGCUUGUUAUUUAUUAAGGUAAACAGCAGUCAAUCUCCUAAAUAAACCCAGGACAGAGAUUAAGCAGGAGUUGAGGAUUUGGCUCACUGACGUUGCUGCACAGUCAGAGCCAACACCAUGGAAAGUUGUCCCUGAGAACAGAGCUUCCUUCCAAAUGAAAAGCCCAGGGAGAGCUGAUGGGCUCUGCAGUGUCCCUCAGAGAUUGCUGGGGCGUGUGAAUGGCUGCUUCACUGGCUGCAGAAACGUUGCGUCCCACACCACCAAGUGGGAAGCGCGAUUCAUGUAGACUGAGCUGCGCCAGAAGUAAGAUGCUUGGGGCUCGCAAUCUCCUGCCAAUGCAGAACUGCUUUGGAGUCCCACAGAGUGGGUUUUCCUCUGUGGAGAGGGUUGUGGCACCGGACUCCUGCUCUACAUAGGCAGUAAAAAUGAAACAACCUGCAAUAAAAGCAACCUGGCAUGUUAUUUAUGAAAAAACUUGCCCCACGAACAGUGGGUUUAGAUUUAAGCCUUAACAUAAAGGACGGUUGAGCCCUUAAGUGUCCUGCUGAAAUGCCUCCUAUGACAUUGAUAUCCAAGAGUGGUUUAGACCUCUGACUUCCCAGUCAGUCCUUAUAGCCUGGCUGAGGAGCAGAGCCUCUAUUCAAACCAUAAUCUAUAGGUACCUCCCUAGGGUGUUUUGAUGGCUUCUCUUUAUUGGCCACAUAAGCAGGCAGGGUCUGGGAACGCUGGAUUAUUGUGGUUUGAAUUGCUGACUACUCUCUCAAACACAAACUCCAGAGCAGCCACCAGUGCCAAAUGUCCGUGCCAUAGAAAAUGCCCUGCAUAACAUCUUCGUCUCUUUUUGAGACAUUUAUCUAACCCAAGAACCUCUGUCUAAUCUGGACAGAGGUUCUUAAAUAAUGAUUUUCCCCAAAUAGAACUCCAAAUAAAAUUCCAUGAUUAAAACCUUAAUAAUUGCCUAAACAACUUUAGCUUAAUUGCCAGCUCCAGCUGAACAGACCCUUUGGGACGUUAGGGAAUUACAGCUAAUGCAAACAGAGCUCUGAUAUAUUUCUUCACAAUAUUGUGUUAAGUAAAAUCCUUGAAUUCCUCCAGUGUUGUUUUAAAGAACUGCGUGUGAUAAGUCAACUUGGUUAUGUGCUCUGUGUGAAAAAUUGCCAAAUAUCCUGCAGGGCAAAUAUGAAAAAGCAGCAGAGAAGACAUUCUGAAGAAAUGAGACUUUAUUGACUUUUUUGUCCCACCUUCAAAGGCCAU